rnacentral:rRNA from 1 species
GAUAGGUCUGCGGCUGAUUAGGUCGUUGGUGGGGUAAUGGCCCACCAAGCCGAUGAUCGGUACGGGUUGUGAGAGCAAGGGCCCGGAGAUGGAACCUGAGACAAGGUUCCAGACCCUACGGGGUGCAGCAGGCGCGAAGCCUCCGCAAUGUACGAAAGUGCGACGGGGGGAUCCCAAGUGUUAUGCUUUUUUGUAUGACUUUUCAUUAGUGUAAAAAGCUUUUAGAAUAAGAGCUGGGCAAGACCGGUGCCAGCCGCCGCGGUAACACCGGCAGCUCGAGUGGUAGCUGUUUUUAUUGGGCCUAAAGCGUUCGUAGCCGGUUUGAUAAGUCUUUGGUGAAAGCUUGUAGCUUAACUAUAAGAAUUGCUGGAGAUACUAUUAGACUUGAAGUCGGGAGAGGUUAGAGGUACUACCGGGGUAGGGGUGAAAUCCUAUAAUCCUGGGAGGACCGCCUGUGGCGAAGGCGUCUAACUGGAACGAUCUUGACGGUGAGUAACGAAAGCCAGGGGCGCGAACCGGAUUAGAUACCCGGGUAGUCCUGGCCGUAAACGAUGUGGACUUGGUGUUGGAAUGGCUCUGAGUUGUUCCGGUGCCGAAGGGAAGCUGUUAAGUCCACCGCCUGGGAAGUACGGUCGCAAGACUGAAACUUAA